UACGUAGGGGGCUAGCGUUGUCCGGAUUUAUUGGGCGUAAAGAGCGUGUAGGCGGCCAGGUAGGUCUGCUGUGAAAACUCGAGGCUCAACCUCGAGACGUCGGCGGAAACCAUCUGGCUAGAGUCCGGAAGAGGAGAGUGGAAUUCCUGGUGUAGCGGUGAAAUGCGCAGAUAUCAGGAAGAACACCCGUGGCGAAGGCGGCUCUCUGGGCCUGUACUGACGCUGAGGAACGAAAGCGUGGGGAGCGAACAGG
rnacentral:rRNA from 1 species